GUGCAAACCAGCUCCUCUUUCGAUCAAGGUCUCAGCUCAAAGAUCAUCUCAGAUAAGCUCAAAGAUCAUCUCUGACAUCCUGGCUGGAGAGAGGACAUGACCUCCUGUCCCUCACCGUCACCCUCUACCACUCUCUUUCGCUUUCUUACAGCACUUAUCAAAGCUUCGACGCAAUUCUCUGGUGCAGCCACCUUCCAGAGCUUUUGGUGCACUUCUGAGGCUCCCCUCCACCUCUCCUGUUUCCAGGGCCUUGGUGAGUUUUGAUGGACACAGAACCAAGAACCCAGCGCCAAGGUCCAGGCCUUUAUGAGGUGCUUGUGCAGGGGCUGCACACCCAGCUGCCAACCAAGUGAAGGGAGGGAGGAAAAUGAACAUCUAAGACCUCAAGCUGGAAGAAGUUUCAGUCCCAGAAGGUGCUAACUGGUUCCCCUGCCCCUCUUCCUACCCCCUCCCGCAGCUCGGCCAGCUGCUGGAGGGACGCUGCAGGGGAAGGAGGCAGGGUGAUUAAGAGCUCUGGUUGUCAGGGCUGGGGCCAGGGGGCACGCCCCCUGGGUGACAUUUUCUCGCAUUGUGUCCUCAGAACAAAAACGAGUCUUAUUUGAGGAGCUAGAUGGGGGAGGGGGCCGGGGGGGCUGAAGCGACCGAGUGGAAUCGUGGCUCCAGGGAACAGCGAUUACUCAUCAAAGGCCAGGGCAGCCCACGUCUUUGUGUGCCCUCCGCAGCCCGCCCGUGCCUGGCCACAGGCCCCCAGCCUUAGACUUCCCCCUGACAGCCCCCAAAGAGCAGGGCUGGGGUGGGGGAGAGCUGGGAUCGUGUGUGGGCACAGAGCCCGGACAGGCGCGGUGGGGGCAGGGGUGACCAGGGCAGGCUUCCUGGAGGAGGGGAGCGUAGACAUGCACUGGACAGAGGGGAGGCGCAAGGAAGAGAAUUGCUGCGUGCUAAGGGGAGAAAAACGUGGGUCUCCGGAGACCAGGGGGUUGUUCCUAGACUGGUUCCCUGCGGGCACAGCAGCAUCUCUCCCAUCAGAUCUGGAUUUGGUUCUUCCUCUAGCUGAACUCCCAGCCAUCCACUUGGUAUUUAUCCACAAGGCACCUGAGUGUCGACACAGAAGACAGCCUAUCUGCCAGAUUGAUGAACAACCUGACCCAAUGCAGGCAAAUGCAGAGGAUGUCCCAUAACUGUCCCACUUCCUGGGAACCCUUCUUUGUGGCCAGCCAGGGCUCAGUGCAAAGAGACAGAGAAGACCCAGGUGUCCCCUGGCCCAAUGCUUCCGGGAGGCGUCUCGGCCUUCCCACCUCUGAGAACAUUCAGGCCUUUGAGAUGUGGCCCCUGCCUGCCCCAGUCCCCCUGGCCCGACAAUGGGGGCUUCAGAGGAGACUGGAUGGCAGGACACAGCCCCUUCUGUGAAGCAGAGUCGACCGCCAAGCUGGUGAGUCUGAGAAGGCAUUCCUCAUGGGGCAGAGAAGGAUGAAGGGAGGAGGCUGUGCAUUGGCCCCUUGGCCCAGCCCUGA
rnacentral:lncRNA from 10 species